GAUGACACAAGUGGGGAGUCCAGCCAACAGAGUUGCAGAAAUCCAAACAGGAUAUGACAAGUGCCUGGAUUAGGACCUGAUGAACCCCAAGGGUCUCUGUCAGCGCUGUCAUCAACCCCAGACUAAUGGAGGAGUGAAGCUGAGAGCCCAGACCGCUGGAGGAGUGAAGCUGAGAGCCCAGACCGCUGGAGGAGUGAAGCUGAGAGCCCAGACUAAUGGAGGAGUGAAGCUGAGAGCCCAGACCGCUGGAGGCGUGAAGCUGAGAGCCCAGACCACUGGAGGAGUGAAGCUGAGAGCCCAGACCGCUGGAGGAGUGAAGCUGAGAGCCCAGACUGCUGGAGGAGUGAAGCUGAGAGCCCAGACCGCUGGAGGAGUGAAGCUGAGAGCCCAGACCGCUGGAGGAGUUAAGCUGAGAGCCCAGACCGCUGGAGGAGUGAAGCUGAGACACCGAUCCAGAGAGGCGUCAGACAUCUGAUCUAGGCCUGUCUCAAAACGUUUUCAGUGUCAGUACAUCUACGACCAAUGUCCAGAAAUGGAAUGAAUGUCCGUGAAUGAAAGGUUUCAUUUCCAAUCAGAAGAGUAGAUGAUCAGUGUAGACAUUUCCGCUGCAGUGGCAUCCAACAUACACAUGGUCCAGGGAGACUAUGAUCUUUGUGGGAAAAUGCCUGAUAGUUCCAACGAAAAUUGCCCACAUAUCCUGGACCCAUGUGUGGGUAGUGGCUGACUCUCUCUUAAACACAGCUGCAGAGCAAGCUUCCAGACCUAGCUGUUCAUCAUGACCAUAGAGAUAUUGAGGUUAUUAUUCAAGUCAAAUUGUGAUGACCACCUACCAUCCCUCAUAUCUAUUAUAAUAAAGCUGGCUCUGUCUCCAUCCCCCCUAGCGUCUGAGGCAGUACAGCUGUCUCUGUCUCCAUCCUCCCCUAGCGUCUGGGGCAGUACAGCUGUCUCUGUCUCCAUCCUCACCUAGCGUCUGGGGCAGUACAGCUGUCUCUGUCUCCAUCCUCACCUAGCGUCUACGGCAGUACAGCUGUCUCUGUCUCCAUCCUCACCUAGCGUCUGGGGCAGUACAGCUGGCUCUGUCUCCAUCCCCCUAGCGUCUGGGGCAGUACAGCUGGCUCUGUCUCCAUCCUCCCCUAGCAUCUGGGGCAGUACAGCUGGCUCUGUCUCCAUCCUCCCCUAGCGUCUGGGGCAGUACAGCUGGCUCUGUCUCCAUUCCCCCUAGCGUCUGAGGCAGUACAGCUGGCUCUGUCUCCAUUCCCCCUAGCAUCUGGGGCAGUACAGCUGGCUCUGUCUCCAUCCCCCCCUAUAGCGUCUGGGGCAGUACAGCUGGCUCUGUCUCCAUGGUGGUGGGAUCCUCCACGAACCUGUCGGGAUUGUUAUCUUAUGCUUAUGUCCUUAAUGUCGCUAGUUUUCAAUAACUGACGUGGGUAAAUAAAGGUUUUAAAAACAGUUUAUGUUGUGCAUGAUAGCAUAGAUGUACACUAUACAGUGCCAGUCAAAAGUUUGGACACACCUACUCAUUCAAGGGUUUUUCUUUGAUUUGCUAUUGUCUACGUCGUACAAUAAUAGUGAAGACAUCAAAACUACGAAAUCACACAUAUGUAAUCAUGUAGUAACCAAAAAUGUGUUAAACAAACAAAAAAAUAUUUUAUAUUUGAGAUUCUUCAAAGUAGCCACCCUUGCGUUGAUGACAGCUUUGCACACUCUUGGCAUUCUCUCAACCAGCUUCACCUGGAAUGUUUUUCCAACAGUCUUGAAGGAGUUCCCACCUAUGCUGAGCACUUGUUGGUUGCUCUUCCUUCACUAUGCAGUCCAACUCAUCUCAAACCAUCUCAAUUGGGUUUAGGUCAGGUGAUUGUGGAGGCCAGGUCAUCUGAUGCAGCACUCCAUUACUCUCCUGUCAGAAUAAUGGUAGAGAGAAUUAUUUAUUUCAGCUUUUAUUUCUUUCAUCACAUUCCCAGUGGGUCAGAAGUUUACAUACACUCGAUUAGUAUUUGGUAGCAUUGCCUUGAAAUUGUUUAACUUGGGUCAAACGUUUUGGGUAGCCUUCCACAAGCUUCCCACAAUAAGAUGGGUGAAUUUUGGCCCAUUACUCCUGACAUAGCUGGUGUAACUGAGUGUGGUUUGUAGGCCUCCUUGCUCGCACACACUUUUUCAGUUCUGCCCACAAUUUUUCUAUGGGAUUGAGGUCAGGGCUUUGUGAUGGUCACUCCAAUACCUUGACUUUGUUGUCCUUAAGCCAUUUUGCCACAACUUUGGAAAUAUGCUUGGGGUCAUUGUUCAUUUGGAAGACCCAUUUGAGAUCUAAGCUUUAACUUCCUGACUGAUGUCUUGAGCUGUUGCUUCAAUAUAUCCACAUAAUUUUCCCUCCAAAUGAUGCCAUCUAUUUUGUGAAGUGCACCAGUCCCUCCUGCAGCAAAGCACCCCCACAACAUGAUGCUGCCACCCCGUGCUUCACGGUUGGGAUGGUGUUCUUCGGCUUGCAAGCCUCCCCCUUUUUCCUCCAAACAUAACAAUGGUCAUUAUGGCCAAACAGUUCUAUUUUUGUUUCAUCAGACCAGAGGACAUUUCUCCAAAAAGUACGAUCUUUGUCCCCAUGUGCAGUUGCAAACCGUAGUCUGGCUUUUUUAUUGCGGUUUUGGAGCAGUGGCUUCUUCCUUGCUGAGCGGCCUUUCAGGUUAUGUUGAUAUAGGACUCGUUUUACUGUGGAUAUAGAUACUUUUGUACCUGUUUCCUGCAGCAUCUUCACAAGGUCCUUUGCUGUUGUUCUCGGAUUGAUUUGCACUUUUCGCACCAAAGUACGUUCAUCUCAAGGAGACAGAACGCGUCUCCUUCCUGAGCCGUAUGACGGCUGCGUGGUCCCAUGGUGUUUAUACUUGCGUAAUAUUGUUUGUACAGAGGAACGUGGUACCCUCAGGUGUUUGGAAAUUGCUCCCAAGGAUGAACCAGACAUGUGGAGGUAUACAAUGUUUUUUCUGAAGUCUUGGCUAAUUUCUUUUGAUUUUCCCAUGAUGUCAAGCAAAGAGGCACUGAGUUUGAAGGUAGGCCUUGAAAUACAUCCACCGUUACACCUCCAAUUGACUCAAAUUAUGUCAAUUAGCCUAUCAGAGGCUUCUAAAGCCAUAACAUCAAUUUCUGGAAUUUUCAAGCUGUUUAAAGGCACAGUCAACUUAAUGUAUGUAAACUUCUGACCCACUGGAAUUGUGAUACAGUGAAUUAUAAGUGAAAUAAUCUGUCUGUAAACAGUUUUUGGAAUAAUUACUUGUGUCAUGCACAAAGUAGAUGUCCUAACCGACUUUCCAAAACUAUAGUUUGUUAACAAGAAAUUUGUGGAGUAGUUGAAAAUGAGUUUUAAUGACUCCAACCUAAGUGUAUGUAAUUUUCUGGGUCUUCCUUUCCUGUGGCGGUCCUCUUGAGAGCCAGUUUCAUCUUAGUUCUUGAUGGUUUUUGUGACUGCACUUGAAGAAACUUUCAAAGUUCUUGAAAUUUUCCGGAUUGACUGAACUUCAUGUAUUUUGAUGUCUUCACCAUUAUUGUACAAUGUAGAAAAUAGUAAAAAUAAAGAAAAACCCUUGAAUGAGUAGACGUGUCCAAACUUUUGACUGGUACUGUCUCUGCAAAAGUAUGUGGACACCCCUUCAAAUGAGUGGAUUUGGCUAUUUCAGCCACACCCAUUCCUGACAGGUGUCUAAAAUUGAGUACACAGCCAUGCAAUCUCUAUAGACAAACAUUGGCAGUAAAAUUGUCUCACUGAAAAGCUCAUUGACUAUAAACGUGGCACUGUCAUUGGAUACCACCAUUCCAACAGGUCAGUUCAUCAAAUUUCUGCCCUGCUAGAGCUUCCCCGGACAACUGUAAGUGCUGUCAUUGUGAAGUGGAAACAUCUAGGAGCAACAACGGCUCAGCCGCAAAGUGGUAGGCCACUCAAGCUCACAGAACGGGAUGUUAAAUUGCAGAAUCUCGUAUCGUCUGUCCUCAAUACCGAGUUCUAAACUGCCUCUUGAAGCAAUGUCAGCACAAAAGCUGUUCAUCGGGAGCUUCAGAAAUGGGUUUCCAAGACUAAGAUCACCAUGCGCAAUGCCAAGCGUCUGCUGGAGUGGUGUAAUUCUCACUGCCAUUGGACUCUGGAGCAGUGAAUCACGUUUCACCAUCUGGCCGUCUGACGGACGAAUCUGUGUUUGGCGGAUGCCAGGAGAACACUACCUGCCCAAAUGCAUAGUGCCAACUGUAAAGUUUGGUGGAUGAUUAAUAAUAGUCUGGGGCUGUUUUUCAUGGUUCAGGCCCCUUAGUUCCAGUGAAGGGAAAUCUUAAUGCUACAGCAUACAAUGACAUUCUAGAUGAUUCUGUGCUUCCAACUUUUUGGCAACAGUUUGGGGAAGGCCCUUUCCUGUUUCAGCAUGACAAUGCCCCCAUGCACAAAGCGAGGUUCAUACAGAAAUGGUUUGUCGAGAUCGGUGUUAAAGAACUUGACUGGCUUGCAUAGAGCCCUGACCUCAACCCCAUCGAACACCUUUGGGAUGAAUUGGAACACCGACUGCGAGUCAGGCCUAAUCACCCAACAUCAGUGCCCGACCUCACUAAUGCUCUUGUGGCUGAAUGGAAGCAAUGUUUCAACAUCUAGUGGAAAGCCUUCCCAGAAGAGUGGAGGCUGUUAUAGCAGCAAAGGGGGGACCAACUCCAUAUUAAUGCCCAUGACUUUGGAAUGAGAUGUUCAACGAGCAGGUGUCCACAUACUUUUGGUAAUGUAGUGUAUCUGCCAAGUCCUUUCCCACAUUCGUCACAACACCAUUUAAAGUCAGAGUCGGGCAUAACACACACACACACACACACACACACACACACACACACAUACACACACUGUUUGACUAGCUGUUACAGUAAUGAUCAAACACUGGUGACCUGACAUCAUAAAUCCCUAUGGUAAAUAGCUGACAUGCACUAGCUAUACAGGUCCGGGCCUGGGGGUGAUGGAAGAAGUCCGUUGGAACAUGAUUACUACGGGAAAAACUGCUAUAAAUCCCAGCAGUCACACCCUGCAGGAGAGAAAUGGUUACGAUAAUACCUGCAUGUACAGUACUAACCUGAAAUACAGUACAUGCUGUAGUACCGGUUCUGAAGGAUCCUUCACAGCAAUUCCCAUUCCACCAUGAUAAAUUGUCACGUCAAUAAUCUGUUAUAAUGUCAUGGACCAUUUGUCUUGGUCAGGUGUUAUCUGUCAUGUACCCUUUCACAUGUUGACACGUUUGUCCUUUAGCCACGUACAGUUUAUCUUAAGAUAGCUAGGUGGGACAACCACAUAUCUCAGUCAUAGUAAGUACAUUUUUCCUCAAUAAAGUAUCAACAAAGUCAGAGCUACUAGCGGGG
ensembl:lncRNA